rnacentral:lncRNA from 1 species
GAAAGACCAAUAGCUGCUGUUUUCCUCUCUUCCUGCUGAGGUCUACCAAUGAAAUGUGAACUAAAGUGAUGAGUGCCACUUCCAGCUACCAAAGAAGACAGGCAGAUGUGGAAACAGAUUCAUAUGGCUCCUUCUGAGAGCAACCCAUCUGAAGAAUCGAAAGAUGUCAGGAGCAAGUAUCCUGUUCUUGUGACAUCCACAGACCUGAAGGAACUCACCUCUGGGUCACAUCAACUGUCCAAGUUCCUAAGCCCUGCAGCCC